UACAUUAGCAUGGGAUAAUGGAAUAGGACCCUGUCCUCCUAUUUUCAGUUGGUUUUGGCAGCGCGAGGACUAGGGUAAUGAUUAAUAGGGAUAGUUGGGGGCAUUAAUAUUUAAUUGUCAGAGGUGAAAUUCUUGGAUUUAUGAAAGAUUAACUUCUGCGAAAGCAUCUGCCAAGGAUGUUUUCAUUAAUCAAGAACGAAAGUUAGGGGAUCGAAGACGAUCAGAUACCGUCGUAGUCUUAACCAUAAACGAUGCCGACCAGCGAUUAGGAGACGUUGAAUACAAAACACCACCAUCGGCGCGGUCGUCCUUGGCGUUCGUGUUCACGCACGAGCGCGAGGGCGGUUUAGCCCGGUGGCACCGGUGAAUGACUCCCUAGCG
rnacentral:rRNA from 1 species